UAGGGAAUCUUCCGCAAUGGACGCAAGUCUGACGGAGCAACGCCGCGUGAGUGAAGAAGGAUUUCGGUUAGUAAAACUCUGUUGUUAGAGAAGAACAGCGCAUAGAGUAACUGUUAUGCGUGUGACGGUAUCUAACCAGAAAGCCACGGCUAACUACGUGCCAGCAGCCGCGGUAAUACGUAGGUGGCAAGCGUUGUCCGGAUUUAUUGGGCGUAAAGCGAGCGCAGGCGGUCAAUUAAGUCUGAUGUGAAAGCCCCCGGCUCAACCGGGGAGGGUCAUUGGAAACUGGUUGACUUGAGUGCAGAAGAGGUGAGUGGAAUUCCAUGUGUAGCGGUGAAAUGCGUAGAUAUAUGGAGGAACACCAGUGGCGAAGGCGACUCUCUGGUCUGUAACUGACGCUGAGGUUCGAAAGCGUGGGUAGCAAACAGG
rnacentral:rRNA from 1 species